UACGAAGGUCCCAAGCGUUGUUCGGAAUCACUGGGCGUAAAGGGAGCGUAGGCGGCGUGGUAAGUCAGAUGUGAAAACUUGGGGCUCAACUCCAAGCUUGCAUUCGAUACGGGCAGGCUAGAGUUCGGUAGGGGAGACUGGAAUUCCUGGUGUAGCGGUGAAAUGCGCAGAUAUCAGGAAGAACACCCGUGGCUAAGGCGGCUCUCUAGUACGGUACUGGACGCUGAGACGCGAAAGCGUGGGGAGCGAACAGG
rnacentral:rRNA from 1 species